AACAUAUUUCUGGCGAACGAAAACUCUGGCGCAGAUUCCGCUGGCAGCUCCCUAAUUUUUGGGCCCCGAUACUUCUUUCUCUCCCGAUAUCGAGAAAAACAGCACCGCCGCUCCUCCCUUCUCCUCCUCCUGUGCACUUCCCCCAGAUCCACCCCGCCUCCGGUCGUCGCCCGCGCUCCUGCAAGCCGCCACCGACCUCCUCAGCCGGACGCCAUGGCCACCGGAGGCAGGGGAUGCGGCCGCGAUGGCCCUGAGCUCGGCGGCGUGGAAGCCAUUGGAGGCGCUGGCGAGGCCGAGGUCGGUGAGCAUGGCAGCGGCGGUCGGGUGCAUUGAGCGCAGGUAGGACUUCCUCAUGAGUUGUUUUCCUCCAACGCCGGGGUGUGGAUCUACGUGCGGGGGGCUGCAGCUGCCGCCACCGCCUCGAUCCCGACCCCCUUCCCCCCGCUUCCCGGGGACAGACCCCGUCGCCUUCUCCCUUCUUCCUCGGACCCCAGGACGUCCUGCUGUCAUCUGCACCCCGUCCCAGUCUUCAUCCGGCCAUCAGGUUUCCUUCCCCUCAAAGAAGGUAUGCAUGAGCAGCUAGCCAUCAGGUUUUGGUAGGUGGCUGGAUGACAAAAGACUUGGUUACACACUAAUGUAUUUCCGUUUAUUGCAAAAUUCAUGGAAGGGGUGAGAGCCCGGUUGGAAAAAAGCUAGGUUGUUUCUUCUCAUCCACCGCAGCAUCAGUUCUCUUUCUUAUUGAAUAUAAUCAAUCAAUACCACCAGGCCAUAGAGAUGGGAUCUUCACAAUUUCUGGGUCAGAUCCGCCCCUGGUGUCCAUAGCAGGAUCAUGCAUGUUGUUGUGUUCAUGGAUUCCAUCUUGUGGAUGAUGAUUUGUGUAUGAUUGGUGUGCUAUCUUUAUCUUGCGUGGUUACAAAUUUUAUUUGUUUUUACAAGGAAUGAUGUGCGAUAGCUUAGUAAAAUAAUUAGAACUACUCUGCACAUGGAUACCCAUGCGUGUACAAUUGCUGUAUUUUUUAGAAGAUACUAACUAACUAAAUAUUCUAACUGCCACUCUUUGUAGAUUUUGAAGGAAGGAGAGAAAUCCGCUAAGCCACCCCCUUAGGAAGCGGAUGGACUAGCUCGACGCGGUCUUUUCCUGCCCAUUCUGCAAUCAUGGGAGUAGCAUUGAAUGUCGGAUGAAAGCUUCAACACCACUGCAAAUGGUACAUAGAACUGCAGAUUGUACCUCCGUCAUCCCGCCGUCCUCACCCCAUCAUUGUGCGCCCCCGCCUGUCCGCUCACGCAUUCACAUUGAGGAAGAUGAUGAGUACCUCGGCCACGCCGCCGUCCUCUCCCCGUCGUCGCGCGUCCCCGCUCGUCAUCCAUCCGCAGCUUUUCCAGUCCCGACCGCCGGAGAGUCGCGCCGCUGGGAACAAGCACCUUGCAAUCGUGGUGUGCUUCUCCGUUGGUGCUGUCGUAUAGACAUCUUGCAAGUAAGUGACCUUCAAUCCAAAUGUUAUCUUUCUCUGCACUUGAUUUCAGUUGCUUUCUUAUGGUCUCCUGAAUUACUUGGCAUGUGUCAGCCAUUCUGGAUAGGGAACGUUCUUACGGGACAUCAUGUUCACUUGGGAUACUUACUGGAUUAAGGAAGAAAUUUUGAAAUGCUUCUGAAACAAUAUCGUUUCAUUAGUUGAGGACUUUGGGUAGUUCAGCAUGUUCGAUUGAGCAUAAUUAAGAAGCUUGAUUUGUAAUUAUAUAAAAAAAAUUGUAAAAUGAUAUGUAAAAGUUGAACUUCUCACCAAAAUUAUAGCACUGAAGUUAAAUCAAGUGAAAAAAAUAGUGUGCUGCGGUGCAGUUACUUGCAGCUGGGACUGAUCUGAUGAAGAAAUUAUUCUGUUAAAGACCUGGCAGAUAGUUUUUCUGCUGGCAAUGUAAUUACACUUGUUUGGAUGUGCUUGUUUUGGAUUAAAUGAUAGAAUGGGUGUUGUACUGUUGUUCUUGAUUUUCUCACUUAUUUAGUAGUGUUUGACGGGCAUUCUAAUCAUUUUUUAGACCACUUUGGAGAGGGUACGUGAUUGAAAAGCUCAGACUUUCCUGUUAGCAAGAGUAUUUUAUAUCUUACCAUGAAAAGCUGUAAUGCUAUUGUUCCUACAGAUUCAAGAACUCGGAUUUAGUAACAAGAUAGAUUUUUAUCAUGCCUCGCUAUGAAAUCAUGUUUGGUUGCAGUGCAAAGGUCAAUUGAGAAUUUGAGAUCCGUUGUGAAGAACUGUAGAUGCUUGCUUGUCGACUGCCUAGAGAUUUUGUUUCUGAAUUUUUUUCUGUUGGAUCGCAGGAUGUUGCUGAUAUAUGGUCGUGUUUGUUCAAAAAAAGUCGUGAUGUGUUAUUGAUCAGGAUAUUAGUAUAUCCCAAUCUCAUCACAGGAUCUGUUCACUGGGUUUCUGAAACUAUAUAGCAUUUUAUUAGUUAUGGGUUGGAGCAGUCUUUCUUUUUUCCUCUCGAGAAAACAUUGAAGCUUAAUGUCUUGAUGCAUUUGGAAAAGAGAAUGGCAAAACAAAAUAGUUUACUUAAGGGUUACAUGAGUGCCUCUGAAUUUUAAAAAAAUGUCAGCAAUAGUUUCCUGUUUUGACUAAGAUUCUUUAUUUUCUUGGGAGCAAGCAUUUUCUGUAAUUCACACCACAACAUGACGGCAUGUGCAUAGCAUAAACCAUCAUUUGGGUAAUCUAAAUAUUAGCUUUGGUAGCCUCAUUUGCAAUUGUGUAUGUCUGUCAGGUUGAUGCCGAGGUAGCUAGCAAAGAUGCAUGAUGCAUAUAUUAUUCAGUAUUGUUCUUACUGACGUUUUUCUUUCUGAUGAUAAACCACGGGGAUAAAUUGGCAAUGUAUCUCUUCACCUUCCAGAAUGAGAGCUUCACAGAGGUCCUCCUGGUGUGGGAGAUCAUGAGAGCCUAGAAAUGCAAAUGAGGCUGGAAGGAUUAUUUUGUUGGUGUCCGAGAGCGAAAUAUUUUGUGUUGCAAAGUUAGCCGUGGACCUUCUGUGGGAGCUUUGGGAGGAUGAUCUUGCCGCUACGCUGGUCAUGUGUCAACCGUACGCCUUUUACUUUUAAUACUGGCAUUUUUGAGGUGCAGGAUUUCUCAAACAGCACUAUACAUAGGGCCUUCCAGACUAUCUCAUAGAUUUUAUCCUGUAAAGUCGUGUGAGUUGUUUCACAUGCUCGAGUGUGAAUGAAUUGCAGGGGAUGCCACUUCUGCUGGUUGGGAUGUUGAUGGUGUGUGUGCUUUUUGCCGCUGCUAGCAUCUACUCCCUCCGUUCGGAAUUACUUGUCACAAAAAUGGAUAGAAAUGGAUGUAUCUAUAACUAAAAUACAUCUAGAUACAUUCAUUUCUUGGACGAGUAAUUCCGAACGGAGGGAGUAGAUGAGUAGUAUAGUGCACAACUGCAUUAGCUUUGGACGUAUGUGCUUCAAUACUUUUUUUCUGUUGGGCUUUAAUAUUCUACUAAAUUUCUG